GGGGUCAACCCCGCAGGAGAUGCAGGCUGGCCUUUCCACAGUUGGGCUGCUUCCUGGCUCCCCGUGCCCUCCAUCUCCUGCCCCCACCCCAUGUGUGAGCAGGGAGUACUCAGGACAGGCUUCCUGGAGGAGGCGACACCUGAACCCUGAGAGAGGUGAUUGGAUGGGGGCCUUAAGCCGAGUUAGAGUCCAGAGGUGAAAGACACUGUACUACUGAUUCUGAAGAUGGAGAAGGGGGCCAGGAGCCAAGGAAUGCAGAGGCUUCUAGAAGCUGGAAACACCCUCUCCCCAAGAGCUUCCGGAAGGAAUGUGGCCCUGUGGACACCUGGAUUUCAGCCAGAAGGGGGUCCUGGUUCAUUGAUUCCUGCCGUCCACCUGACACUCCACGGGGAACUGCCUCAUUUCUCCUAACGCGCACCCACGUGUCCACAGGGUGCUGGGAGCCAUCUCUGAAGUCAGGCAGGUCUGCAAGG